rnacentral:lncRNA from 1 species
GUAAAACAAUCAAACCAACAAACAAAACAGAACGAAUCAAAAAUAGUUUCCAGUCCGAGUUAUACAGUCCCAAAAAUAGAAAAAAUACGAAAAUGUAAAUCCUAUUCUAAACUAAACCUAGACUAAGCUUCAAUGCCUCACCUGAUGCCUCGGGCCUUCAUCGCGAUCGUUCUCCAAGUACAAGAUACUUCGGGGCAUUCCCCGAAUAAAUCAAUACAAAUCUCUCGGGGUAUUCCCCGGCUAAAUGAAUACACUUUCAAUGAGAAAAGACCACAAUCAUUCGACAAUAUUUCAAACAUUCCACAGGAUUUCCAACAUUCAAUCAAAGCUAUCGAUUCUAAAUAUUUGCCUACCCGACUUAUUUGCCUAAACCAAUCGAUGUAUCAUGUUACUACCAAAUUCAAAUUAACGUUCCUUUCAAGUUAUACGAACAAUGAAAUCAAACUAACCAAAAUCGCCAAUUAUAUCAAGUUUCCAAUUUUCACCCACAAACCCAUUUUUAACCACAACAAUUAACACAUGCUUCGAUUAUUAAAUCACAUCUCAAAAUCCGCAACCAACAUUCUUCACAAACAAACAACGAAGAUUCGAACUAAGCACACAACACAUAAAUCAUUCAUACCCACGACAUUAAUAAAAAAAAAUUAAGAUAAAAGUAAAGAUCGGGGAGAAGAAAUGGACCUCAAAGCUUUCGAUUGGUUUUAAUAAGAGAGAUAAGAGCUGAUCCAAGAAGCCCGAAGAAUACCAACAGAACCUCAAAUUUGACUCUCUCAAUCAGUUAAGAACCAGCUCAGCAAUGCGAUAAUUGACCUCCGUUCCGACCAAGAUAUAUCUUCAAACGAAAUCAACGAACAAACAAAACUGAACACUGGAGUAUGACCAAAAUGACCCAGAUCCGCAGAGAAUAAAUGAUUACCAGAGCCAGAUUUAUAGAAAGAAAAUAAAACUAAUGGAAGCCCACGAGAUCGGAGCUCCGGCAAAAACUAAUGACUGGAAGAAAAUGACAAAGAUGGGAUCAGUUUUUGGCUAUAUCUUAUCCAGAAAUCAGAGGAAAAUAACGAGAUUUGGCGAGUUUGGGAUUGAUCCAACGAACGACGAAUGGAGGAGAUGAUUCCGGUGAAGCUACUGCCGGAACAGUAACCCAAAACCCUUCGUUCUCUCUCUAUCCGUCUCUCUGUUUCUCCCUAUGUGGGGAAGAGCCAAAAAAAAGAAGGAAAAAAAAAGAAUGGAGUCCUUCGCUGGGUGUGUCUAUGGAUGGAGAAGAUGCUCUGUGGUCUCUUCUUUUAUCUGAGAAUCUCUCCCCUCCUUAUUACUGUGAUGUGUAUAUAUGUGGGAUCUUUGGGGUGAGUAUGUGAGGGUCUUUGUAUCUGUGGAUAAUUGUGUGUGCGUGAAGAAGAGACCAAAAGAAAAAAAAGGGAAUCGUUUCUAGUGAGCUCUAUCCAAUCCCCUUAAAACAAAAUGGUUCCUUGUGGGUUUUCCUGCAAGUUUCCUA